rnacentral:rRNA from 1 species
UCUGCUCUUUUCAGAGUCGAGUUGUAAUUUGUAGAGGAUGCUUCGGCUUACGUCUCGGUCUAAGUUCCUUGGAACAGGACGUCACAGAGGGUGAGAAUCCCGUUUGUGGCCGCGACUUCUGCCAUGUGAAGCUCCUUCGACGAGUCGAGUUGUUUGGGAAUGCAGCUCUAAAUGGGAGGUAUAUUUCUUCUAAAGCUAAAUAUUGGCCAGAGACCGAUAGCGCACAAGUAGAGUGAUCGAAAGAUGAAAAGCACUUUGGAAAGAGAGUUAAAAAGUACGUGAAAUUGUUGAAAGGGAAGCGUUUGCGACCAGACUUGCCUGCGGAUGCUCAACCGGUCCUUCGGCCGGUGCACUCUUCCGCAGUCAGGCCAGCAUCAGUUCGAGUAGCCAGAUAAAGGCUUUGGGAAUGUAGCUCUCUUCGGGGAGUGUUAUAGCCCUUUGUACAAUAUGGUUCACUUGGACUGAGGCCCGCGCUUCGGCUAGGAUGCUGGCGUAAUGGUCGUAAGCGGCCCGUCUU